rnacentral:rRNA from 1 species
AACAGAGGAUGCAAGCGUUAUCCGGAAUUAUUGGGCGUAAAGCGCUCGUAGGCGGUUUUUCAAGUCUGCUGUGAAAACUGGAGGCUCAACCUCCAGCCUGCAGUGGGUACGGGCAGGCUAGAGUGCGGUAGGGGAGAUUGGAAUUCCUGGUGUAGCGGUGGAAUGCGCAGAUAUCAGGAGGAACACCGAUGGCGAAGGCAGAUCUCUGGGCCGUAACUGACGCUGAGGAGCGAAAGCAUGGGGAGCGAACAGG